rnacentral:rRNA from 1 species
UACGUAGGGGGCAAGCGUUGUCCGGAUUUAUUGGGCGUAAAGAGCGUGUAGGCGGCUUCACAGGUCUGCUGUGAAAACUCGAGGCUCAACCUCGAGCUGUCGGUGGAAACCGUGGGGCUAGAGUCCGGAAGAGGAGAGUGGAAUUCCCGGUGUAGCGGUGAAAUGCGCAGAUAUCAGGAGGAACACCGGUGGCGAAGGCGGGUCUCUGGGCCGAUACUGACGCUGAGGAGCGAAAGCGUGGGGAGCGAACAGG